GAUGAACGCUGGCGGCGUGCCUAAUACAUGCAAGUCGAGCGAACAGACGAGGAGCUUGCUCCUCUGACGUUAGCGGCGGACGGGUGAGUAACACGUGGAUAACCUACCUAUAAGACUGGGAUAACUUCGGGAAACCGGAGCUAAUACCGGAUAAUAUAUUGAACCGCAUGGUUCAAUAGUGAAAGACGGUUUUGCUGUCACUUAUAGAUGGAUCCGCGCCGCAUUAGCUAGUUGGUAAGGUAACGGCUUACCAAGGCAACGAUGCGUAGCCGACCUGAGAGGGUGAUCGGCCACACUGGAACUGAGACACGGUCCAGACUCCUACGGGAGGCAGCAGUGGGGAAUCUUCCGCAAUGGGCGAAAGCCUGACGGAGCAACGCCGCGUGAGUGAUGAAGGUCUUCGGAUCGUAAAGCUCUGUUAUUAGGGAAGAACAAAUGUGUAAGUAACUAUGCACGUCUUGACGGUACCUAAUCAGAAAGCCCCGGCUAACUACGUG
rnacentral:rRNA from 1 species